rnacentral:rRNA from 1 species
UACGUAGGGUGCAAGCGUUAAUCGGAAUUACUGGGCGUAAAGCGUGCGCAGGCGGCUUUGCAAGACAGAUGUGAAAUCCCCGGGCUUAACCUGGGAACUGCAUUUGUGACUGCAUGGCUGGAGUGCGGCAGAGGGGGAUGGAAUUCCGCGUGUAGCAGUGAAAUGCGUAGAUAUGCGGAGGAACACCGAUGGCGAAGGCAAUCCCCUGGGCCUGCACUGACGCUCAUGCAGGAAAGCGUGGGGAGCAAACAGG